rnacentral:rRNA from 1 species
CCCUUAGAUGUUCCGGGCCGCACGCGCGCUACACUGAUGCAUUCAACGAGUCUAAAACCUGCUCUGAUAGGGGUGGGUAAUCUUUUGAAUGUGCAUCGUGAUUGGGAUAGAUGAUUGCAAUUUUUCAUCUUCAACGAGGAAUGCCUAGUAAACGCAAGUCAUCAGCUUGCAUUGAUUACGUCCCUGCCCUUUGUACACACCGCCCGUCGCUCCUACCGAUUGAAUGAUCCGAUGAAUAUCAUGGAUUGAGGAUGCAAGUAGGUUAGCCUAUCUUCAUCUUCGAGAAGUGAAGUAAAUCUUAUCAUUUAGAGGAAGGAGAAGUCGUAACA